rnacentral:rRNA from 1 species
GAUGAACGCUGGCGGCGUGCCUAAUACAUGCAAGUCGAGCGAAGCGGGGACGGGUGAGUAACACGUGGAUAACCUCCUCUGAGACUGGGAUAACUUCGGGAAACCGGUGCUGAACCUGAUACUUAUAGCUGGUUCCGCGCUGAAUUAGGUAGUUGGUAAGGUAACGGCUUACCAAGGCCACGAUGCAUAGCCGACCUGAGAGGGUGAUCGGCCACACGGGAACUGAGACACGGUCCAGACUCCUACGGGAGGCAGCAGUAGGGAAUCGUCCGCAAUGGGCGAAAGCCUGACGGAGCAACGCCGCGUGAGUGAUGAAGGUCUUCGGAGCGUAAAGCUCUGUUAUUAGGGAAGCGGUAGUUAAUCAGAAAGCCCCGGCUAACUACGUGCCAGCAGCCGCGGUAAUUC